GACGAACGCUGGCGGCGUGCUUAACACAUGCCAGUCGAACGGAAAGGCCCUGCGUUUGUGGGGUGCUCGAGUGGCGAACGGGUGAGUAACACGUGAGUAACCUGCCCUUGACUUUGGGAUAACUUCAGGAAACUGGGGCUAAUACCGGAUAGGAGCUCCUGCUGCAUGGUGGGGGUUGGAAAGUUGCGGCGGUUGGGGAUGGACGCGCGGCUUAUCAGCUUGUUGGUGGGGUAGGGGCUUACCAAGGCUUUGGAGGGUAGCCGGCCCGGGAGGGUGACCGGCGUCCAUGGUCCUGAGGUACGGCCCAGACGGCUACGGGAGGCAGUAGUGGGGAAUCUUGCACAAUGAGCGGGAGCCUGAUGAAGCAACGCCGCGUGCGGGAUGACGGCCUUCGGGUUGUAAACCGCUUUCGCCUGUGACGCAGCGUGAGUGACGGUACUGGGUAAAGAAGCACCGGCUAACUACGUG
rnacentral:rRNA from 1 species